UACGUAGGGUCCGAGCGUUGUUCGGAAUUAUUGGGCGUAAAGGGCGCGUAGGCGGUUUGGCAAGUCUAGUGUGAAAUCUUCGGGCUCAACUCGAAGUCUGCACUGGAAACUGCCGGGCUUGAGUAUGGGAGAGGUGAGUGGAAUUUCCGGUGUAGCGGUGAAAUGCGUAGAUAUCGGAAGGAACACCUGUGGCGAAAGCGGCUCACUGGACCAUAACUGACGCUGAGGCGCGAAAGCUAGGGGAGCAAACAGGG
rnacentral:rRNA from 1 species